AUUGAACGCUGGCGGCAUGCCUAACACAUGCAAGUCGAACGCUCCGCAAGGAGAGUGGCAGACGGGUGAGUAACACGUGGGAAUCUUCCUAUCGGUACGGAAUAGCUCAGGGAAACUUGAGGUAAUACCGCAUACGCCCUUCGGGGGAAAGAUUUAUCGCCGAUAGAUGAGCCCGCGUCUGAUUAGCUAGUUGGUGGGGUAAUGGCCUACCAAGGCGACGAUCAGUAGCUGGUCUGAGAGGAUGACCAGCCACACUGGGACUGAGACACGGCCCAGACUCCUACGGGAGGCAGCAGUGGGGAAUAUUGGACAAUGGGCGCAAGCCUGAUCCAGCCAUGCCGCGUGAGUGACGAAGGUCUUCGGAUUGUAAAGCUCUUUUGCCAGGGACGAUAAUGACGGUACCUGGAGAAUAAGCCCCGGCUAACUUCGUGCCAGCAGCCGCGGUAACAC
rnacentral:rRNA from 1 species